rnacentral:rRNA from 1 species
CCUACGGUGGGCAGCAGUAGGUAAUCUUUCACAAUGGGCGAAAGCCUGAUGGAGCCACGCCGCGUGCAGGAUGAAGGCCUUCGGUUUGUAAACUGCUUUUAUAAGCGAGACAUAUGAUGGUAACUUAUGAAUAAGUAUCGGCUACCUCCGUGCCAGCAGCCGCGGUCAUACGUAGGAUCCGAGCAUUAUCCGGAGUGACUGGGUGUAAAGAGUUGCGUAGGUGGCAUAAUAAGUAGCUAGUGAAAUCUGGUGGCUCAACCAUUCAGACUAUUAGCUAAACUGUUAAGCUCAAGACCGUUAGGGGUAACUGGAAUGUCUAGUGUAGGAGUGAAAUCCGUAGAUAGUAGAAGGAACACCAAUAGCGUAGGCAGGUUACUGGGACGGUUCUGACACUAAGGCACGAAAGCGUAGGGAGCAAACGGGAUUAGAUACCCUUGUAGUC